AUGCAAGUCGAGCGAACAGGAUAAGGAGCUUGCUCCUUUGACGUUAGCGGCGGACGGGUGAGUAACACGUGGGCAACCUACCUUAUAGUUUGGGAUAACUCCGGGAAACCGGGGCUAAUACCGAAUAAUCUAUUUUACUUCAUGGUGAAAUACUGAAAGACGGUUUCGGCUGUCGCUAUAAGAUGGGCCCGCGGCGCAUUAGCUAGUUGGUGAGGUAACGGCUCACCAAGGCGACGAUGCGUAGCCGACCUGAGAGGGUGAUCGGCCACACUGGGACUGAGACACGGCCCAGACUCCUACGGGAGGCAGCAGUAGGGAAUCUUCCACAAUGGGCGAAAGCCUGAUGGAGCAACGCCGCGUGAGUGAAGAAGGUUUUCGGAUCGUAAAACUCUGUUGUAAGGGAAGAACAAGUACAGUUUUAACUGGCGGUGCACUCACUGGAAUUGAAGGCCCGGGCCAGAAUUCCUCGGGGAGUCGCACAGUAGGGGAUUUUUUCCCAAUUGGGGGAAGUUGUGAUGGAGACCAACCCCGGCGGAGUGGUAGGAAAGGCUUUUCGGAGUGUGUUAACUCUUUGUGUUAUGGGAGAGAAAUCAAGUCACGUAGUGAUCAUGGGUUGUACCCUUACGGUACCUUAUUUGAAAAGGCACGGGUAAAUACGUGUCCAGCAGCCGCGGUAUAUGUAGGUGGGCAAACGUUGUCUCGGAAAUAUUUGGGGUAAAGCGCGCGCAAGGCGGUCUCUUUAAGUGUGAUGUGAGAAGCCCCCGGUCUACCGUGGAGGGUCAUAUGGAACUGGGGGACUUGAGUGCAGAAGAGGGAAGUGGAAUUUCAAGUGUAGCGGUGAAAAUGCGUAGAGAUAUGGAGGAACACCAGUGGCGAAGGCGACUUUCUGGUCUGUAACUGACGCUGAGGCGCGAAAGCGUGGGGAGCAAACAGGAUUAGAUACCCCGGUAGUGCACGCCGUAAACGAUGAGUGCUAAGUGUUAGGGGGUUUCCGCCCCUUAGUGCUGCAGAUAACGCAUUA
rnacentral:rRNA from 1 species